rnacentral:lncRNA from 1 species
AACUGGCCCUAACCGAAUUAUUCUCUUAACUUAUGAUUUUUAUCCAGUUUUCCUCUAUGAGGUUCAGUUCAGUUCCCUAAGUUCAUUAAAUCUAUCUGGCAUCCUAGCAAAAUACUAAGACUGACAAUAUAACAAACAUGUACCUCACUACAUCAAUGCUAGUUGUCUGCCAGUCCAUCCAUACGCUUCAUCCUUGUUGUCUUCACCCUUUCCCAUUCGUUCUUAUCCAGCCAGCUCGAUCAGAUACUUAACCGAAUCCCCUUGUUACUUAGUCACUCAGCCAACCAUCCCCACAUGACCAUGAACAAAGAGAGACGGCUGGGUUUCCAACCAGCCAUCCAGAACAGAC